AACUGCGAAUGGCUCAUUAAAUCAGUUAUCGUUUAUUUGAUAGUACCUUACUACUUGGAUAACCGUGGUAAUUCUAGAGCUAAUACAUGCUAAAAACCCCGACUUCGGGAGGGGUGUAUUUAUUAGAUAAAAAACCAACGCCCUUCGGGGCUCCUUGGUGAUUCAUAAUAACUAAACGAAUCGCAUGGCCUUGCGCCGGCGAUGGUUCAUUCAAAUUUCUGCCCUAUCAACUUUCGAUGGUAGGAUAGUGGCCUACCAUGGUAUCAACGGGUAACGGGGAAUUAGGGUUCUAUUCCGGAGAGGGAGCCUGAGAAACGGCUACCACAUCCAAGGAAGGCAGCAGGCGCGCAAAUUACCCAAUCCCGACUCGGGGAGGUAGUGACAAUAAAUACUGAUACAGGGCUCUUACGGGUCUUGUAAUUGGAAUGAGUACAAUUUAAAUCCCUUAACGAGGAACAAUUGGAGGGCAAGUCUGGUGCCAGCAGCCGCGGUAAUUCCAGCUCCAAUAGCGUAUAUUAAAGUUGUUGCAGUUAAAAAGCUCGUAGUUGAACCUUGGGCCUGGCUGGCCGGUCCGCCUCACCGCGUGCACUGGUCCGGCCGGGCCUUUCCUUCUGGGGAUCCGCAUGCCCUUUACUGGGUGUGUCGGGGAACCAGGACUUUUACUUUGAAAAAAUUAGAGUGUUCAAAGCAGGCCUUCGCUCGAAUACAUUAGCAUGGAAUAAUAGAAUAGGACGUGCGGUUCUAUUUUGUUGGUUUCUAGGACCGCCGUAAUGAUUAAUAGGGAUAGUCGGGGGCAUCAGUAUUCAAUUGUCAGAGGUGAAAUUCUUGGAUUUAUUGAAGACUAACUACUGCGAAAGCAUUUGCCAAGGAUGUUUUCAUUAAUCAGUGAACGAAAGUUAGGGGAUCGAAGACGAUCAGAUACCGUCGUAGUCUUAACCAUAAACUAUGCCGUUUAGGGAUCGGGCGAUGUUACUAUUCUGACUCGCUCGGCACCUUACGAGAAAUCAA
rnacentral:rRNA from 1 species